GGUUUGAUCAUAGCUCAGAUUGAACGCUGGCGGGAUGUGCAUUUUAUACAAGUCGAACGGCAGCACGGACUUCGGUCUGGUGGCGAGUGGCGAACGGGUGAGUAAUGUAUCGGAACGUGCCUAGUAGCGGGGGAUAUUCACGCAGCGUAGCUAAUACCGCAUACGCCCUUCGAAGAGCGGGGAUAUUCGGGCCUCGCACUAUUAGAGCGGCCGAUAUCGGAUUCGCUAGUUGGUGGGGUAACGGCUCACCAAGGCGACGAGUCCGUAGCUGGUUUGAGGACGACCAGCCACACUGGGACUGAGACACGGCCCAGACUCCUACGAGGAGGCAGCAGUGAAAUUUACACGGACAAUGGAAACCUGAUUGGCUUCAUCCCGCGUGUGCGAUGAAGGCCUUCGGGUUGUAAGCGCCUGGCGGGGAAAGAAACGGCACGGGAUAAUACCCCGUGCAACUGACGACCUGCAGAAUAAGCGCAGCAAUACGUGCCAGCAGCCGCGGUAAUACGUAAGAGGUGCAAGCGUUAAUCGGAAUUGCUGGGCGUAAAGCGUUACGCAGGCGGUUCAAAAAGGAAAGAAAGAUGUGAAAUCAGAGCACUUUGGAACUGCAUUUUUAACUACCGAGCUAGAGUGUGUCAGAGGGAGGGGUGGAAUUCCACGCGUGUAGCAGUGAAAUGCGUAGAUAUGCGGAACACCGAUGGCGAAGGCAGCCUCUGAGAUACUGACGCUCAUGCACGAAAGCGUGGGGAGCAAACGAGUUAGAUACACUGGUAGUCCACGCCCUAAACGAUGUCAACUAGCUGUGGGGCUGGCGGGCCUUGGUAGCGCAGCUAACGCGUGAAGUUGACCGCCGCAAAUUACGGUCGCAAGAUUAAAACUCAAAGGAAUUGACGAGGACCCGCACAAGCGGUGGAUGAUGUGGAUUAAUUCGAUGCAACGCGAAAAACCAUACCCUUGACAUGUCUGGAAUCCCGAAGAGAUUUGGGAGUGCUCGCAAGAGAACCGGAACACAGGUGCUGCAUGGCUGUCGUCAGCUCGUGUCGUGAGAUGUUGGGUUAAGUCCGCAACAGGCGCAGCCCUUGUCAUUAGUUGCUACGAAAGGGCAUCUAAUGAGACUGCCGGUGACAAACCGGAGGAAGGUGGGGAUGACGUCAAGUCCUCAUGGCCCUUAUGGGUCAGGGCUUCACACGUCAUACAAUGGUCGGGACAGAGGGUCGCCAACCCGCGAGGGCCAAUCCAGAAACCCGAUCGUAGUCCGGAUCGCAGUCUGCAACUCGACUGCGUGAAGUCGGAAUCGCUAGUAAUCGCGGAUCAGCAUGUCAUGAUUUGAUACGUUCAAGGUCUUGUACACACCGCCCGUCACACCAUGGGGUGGGUUUACCGAAGUAGUUAGCCCAAACACCGUAAGGAGGCGAUUACCACGGUAGGAUUCAUGACUGGGGUGAAGUCGUAACAAGGUAA
rnacentral:rRNA from 1 species